CCUCCCACGGUACUGACCAGG
rnacentral:siRNA from 1 species